GGACUCUUCUUCAUCUGCCAGCAUAAAUCUUUCGCCAGUUUUACUAAAGAUUUCCGCGGAGAGGAACAUUUAGGAGUUUCUACCCAAUUUUUUGAGGCUUCACCACCUGGCCU
rnacentral:snRNA from 1 species